UAAUAAGUGUUUUUAUGGCACUUUUUAAAUCCAUAUCCACCUUGUGUGCAAUGUCAGUCGAUCUUCUUCAUGGAGAUCGACCAAACAUCAACCUUAUUUUUUUAACUCUUUGUCUGAAAAAUAUUAUGAAUAAACAAUUCAAAAUA
rnacentral:misc_RNA from 1 species